rnacentral:rRNA from 1 species
GUCCUAUUGUAGUUUAUAUUAGGUCAGGCCUGCUCAAUGAUUUAAAAUUAAAUAGCCGCAGUAUUUUGACUGUGCAAAGGUAGCAUAAUCAUUUGUCUCUUAAUUGGGGGCUUGUAUGAAAGGUUUAAUGAAAAAUACGCUUUCUUUAUGUAAUAGAAUGAAUUUAACGUUUAAGUUAAAAGGCUUAGAUAUUAUUAUGGGACGAGAAGACCCUAUAGAAAUUUACUAUUUAUAGACAGUUAAUUUUAAUUUAAUUAUGAAUUUAUUUUUUAUGAAUAGUUUUGUUGGGGCGACACGAAGAUUUUAGUAACUCUUCGUUUUAAUUAUUUUAUUAAUUUAUAUCUAUUGAGAUCCUUUAAUAAGGAUGUAAAGAAUAAUUUACCUUAGGGAUAACAGCGUAAUUCUUUUGGAGAGUUCUUAUUGAUGAAAGAGAUUGCGACCUCGAUGUUGGAUUAAAAUAAGUUUUGAGUGCAGAAGCUCAUUUUCUAGGUCUGUUCGACCUUUAAUUUUUUACA